rnacentral:rRNA from 1 species
AGCAGCCGCGGUAAUUCCAGCUCCAAUAGCGUAUAUUAAAGUUGUUGCAGUUAAAAAGCUCGUAGUUGAAUUUCGGGAUCAAGGAAUCGGUCAUGCCUUGGUAUGUACUGGUUUUAUUGGUUCUCACCUUCUAAAGAACCAUGAUGUCAUUCAUUUGAUGUUAUGGGGAAUUAGGACUGUUACCUUGAAAAAAUUAGAGUGUUUAAAGCAAGCUUACGCUUGAAUACAUUAGCAUGGAAUAAUGAAAUAGGACAUCAGAUUCUAUUUUGUUGGUUUCUAGGAUCGAUGUAAUGAUUAAUAGGGAUAGUUGGGGGCAUUAGUAUUCAAUUGUCAGAGGUGAAAUUCUUGGAUUUAUUGAAGACUAACUACUGCGAAAGCAUUUGCCAAGGAUGUUUUCAUUAAUCAAGAACGAAAGUUAGGGGAUCGAAGACGAUCAGAUACCGUCGUAGUCUUAACCAUAAACUAUGCCGACUAGGGAUCGGAUGAUGUUAAUUUUUAAUGUACUCAUUC